rnacentral:rRNA from 1 species
UACGUAGGGGGCUAGCGUUGUCCGGAUUUAUUGGGCGUAAAGAGCGUGUAGGCGGCCAGGUAGGUCCGGUGUGAAAACUCGAGGCUUAACCUCGAGAUGUCAUCGGAAACCAUCUGGCUAGAGUCCGGAAGAGGAAAGUGGAAUUCCUGGUGUAGCGGUGAAAUGCGCAGAUAUCAGGAAGAACACCAAUGGCGAAAGCAGCUUUCUGGGACGGUACUGACGCUGAGACGCGAAAAGCGUGGGGAGCGAACAGG